AUACGUAGGUGACAAGCGUUAUCCGGAUUUACUGGGCGUAAAGGGCGUGUAGGCGGUCUUGCAAGUCAGAAGUGAAAUUCCUGAGCUCAACUCGGGCGCUGCUUCUGAAACUGCAGGACUUGAGUGCUGGAGGGGAUAGCGGAAUUCCUAGUGGAGCGGUAAAAUGCGCAGAUCUUAGUAUGAACACCGGUGGCGAAGGCGGUUCUCGGGACAGAAACUGACGCAGCGGCGCGAAAGGUUGGGCAGUAAACGGGAUAAGAGUCCCGCGGAUACCACGCUGUAAACGAUGAAUACUAGGUGUAGGGGGUAUCGACUCCCUCUGUGUCGCAGUUAACACAAUAAGUAUUCCGCCUGGGGGGUACGGCCGCAAGGCUGAAACUCAAAGGAAUUGAGGGGG
rnacentral:rRNA from 1 species